GACGAACGCUGGCGGCGUGCUUAAUACAUGCCAGUCGAACGGACAGGCCCUGCUUUUGUGCGUUGCUCGUUUGGCGAACGCGUGAGUAUCACGCGUGUAACCUGUCCUUGUCUUUGGGAUAACUUCACGAAACAGGGGCUAAUACACCAUAGGAGCUCCUGCUGCACAGGGGGGGUUGGUAAGUGUCGGCGGUUCGGGAUGGACGCGCGGCUUAUCAGCUUGUUGGUGAGGUAGUGGCUUACCAAGGCUUUGACGGAUAGCCAGCAUGAGAGGGUGACCGGCCACAAUGGGACUGAGGUAGGGCCCAGACUGCUACGUGCGGCAGGAGUGGAAAAUAUUGCGGAAUAAGCGGAAGCCUGAUAGAACAACGUCGGGUGCGGGAUGACGGCUUACUGGUUGAAAACAGCUUUCGCCUGUGACGAAGCGUGAGUGACGGUAACGAGUAAAGAAGCACCGGCUAACUACGUG
rnacentral:rRNA from 1 species